rnacentral:rRNA from 1 species
UACGUAGGGGGCAAGCGUUAUCCGGAUUUACUGGGUGUAAAGGGAGCGUAGACGGUUAUGCAAGUCUGAAGUGAAAGCCCAAGGCUCAACCGUGGGACUGCUUUGGAAACUGUAAAACUGGAGUGCAGGAGAGGUAAGCGCAAUUCCUAGUGUAGCGGUGAAAUGCGUAGAUAUUAGGAGGAACACCAGUGGCGAAGGCGGCUUACUGGACUGUAACUGACGUUGAGGCUCGAAGGCGUGGGGAGCAAACAGG